rnacentral:rRNA from 1 species
AGCGAACGCUGGCGGCAGGCCUAACACAUGCAAGUCGAACGAACUCUUCGGAGUUAGUGGCGGACGGGUGAGUAACACGUGGGAACGUGCCUUUAGGUUCGGAAUAACUCAGGGAAACUUGUGCUAAUACCGAAUGUGCCCUUCGGGGGAAAGAUUUAUCGCCUUUAGAGCGGCCCGCGUCUGAUUAGCUAGUUGGUGAGGUAAAGGCUCACCAAGGCGACGAUCAGUAGCUGGUCUGAGAGGAUGAUCAGCCACAUUGGGACUGAGACACGGCCCAAACUCCCACGGGAGGAAGCGGGGGGGAAUGUUGAGGAAGGGGGGAAGGCUCGAGCCACCAAUGCCGGGAGAAUAAAGAGGGUCUUGGGGUUGAAAAUUUCUUUCACGGGGGAUGAUAAUGAGGGAACCGGGAGAAGAGACCCGGGCUAGCUUGGUC